UACGUAGGUGGCAAGCGUUGUCCGGAAUUACUGGGUGUAAAGGGAGCGCAGGCGGGAAGCCAAGUCAGCUGUGAAAACUACGGGCUUAACUUGUAGACUGCAGUUGAAACUGGUUUUCUAGAGUGAAGUAGAGGUUGGCGGAAUUCCGAGUGUAGCGGUGAAAUGCGUAGAUAUUCGGAGGAACACCGGUGGCGAAGGCGGCCAACUGGGCUUUAACUGACGCUGAGGCUCGAAAGUGUGGGGAGCAAACAGG
rnacentral:rRNA from 1 species